rnacentral:rRNA from 1 species
UUUAACUGAAGAGUUUGAUCAUGGCUCAGAUUGAACGCUGGCGGCAGGCUUAACACAUGCAAGUCGAGCGGAGUGAUGGUGCUUGCACUAUC